GUCUAUCUGCUCAUGAAUUAAUUUUAAUAGCUGCAGAAUUUUAACUGUACUAAGGUAGCAUAAUAAUUAGUUUAUUAAUUGUAAACUAGAAUAAAUGAUUGAAUUGGGUGUAAUCUGUUUCAGAAAAAGUUAAUAUAAUUUAAUUUUUAAGUGAGAAAGCUUAAAUUUUUUUAAGGGACGAGAAGACCCUAUAGAUUUUUACAUUUAAUUAAGUGAAUCUACUUACUAAAAAGGUUAAGGGGGGGCACUUUUAAAAAAAAUAAUUUUUUAAAUUUAUUUACUAAAAUAAAAGAUUAAAUUGUGAAUAAUUUAUUAUUAUUAUUUGACAAAAAUACCUUAGGGAUAACAGCAUAAUAAAUUAAAAAAGAUCUUACUUUUUAAUUUGAUUGUGACCUCGAUGUUGAAUUAAGAUAAAAGUUAAUGGAGAGGAUUAAUUUUU
rnacentral:rRNA from 1 species